GGGUUGUGAGGUUAAGCGACUAAGCGUACACGGUGGAUGCCCUGGCAGUCAGAGGCGAUGAAGGGCGUGCUAAUCUGCGAUAAGCGCCGGUAAGGUGAUAUGAACCGUUAUAACCGGCGAUACCCGAAUGGGGAAACCCAGUGUGAUUCGUCACACUAUCAUUAACUGAAUCCAUAGGUUAAUGAGGCGAACCGGGGGAACUGAAACAUCUAAGUACCCCGAGGAAAAGAAAUCAACCGAGAUUCCCCCAGUAGCGGCGAGCGAACGGGGAGGAGCCCAGAGCCUGAAUCAGCAUGUGUGUUAGUGGAAGCGUCUGGAAAGGCGCGCGAUACAGGGUGACAGCCCCGUACACAAAAGCGCAUGUGCUGUGAGCUCGAUGAGUAGGGCGGGACACGUGGUAUCCUGUCUGAAUAUGGGGGGACCAUCCUCCAAGGCUAAAUACUCCUGACUGACCGAUAGUGAACCAGUACCGUGAGGGAAAGGCGAAAAGAACCCCGGCGAGGGGAGUGAAAAAGAACCUGAAACCGUGUACGUACAAGCAGUGGGAGCACAGGUUUACCUGUGUGACUGCGUACCUUUUGUAUAAUGGGUCAGCGACUUAUAUUCUGUAGCAAGGUUAACCGAAUAGGGGAGCCGGAGGGAAACCGAGUCUUAAUUGGGCGUUAAGUUGCAGGGUAUAGACCCGAAACCCGGUGAUCUAGCCAUGGGCAGGUUGAAGGUUGGGUAACACUAACUGGAGGACCGAACCGACUAAUGUUGAAAAAUUAGCGGAUGACCUGUGGCUGGGGGUGAAAGGCCAAUCAAACCGGGAGAUAGCUGGUUCUCCCCGAAAGCUAUUUAGGUAGCGCCUCGUGAAUUCAUCUCCGGGGGUAGAGCACUGUUUCGGCUAGGGGGCCAUCCCGGCUUACCAACCCGAUGCAAACUGCGAAUACCGGAGAAUGUUAUCACGGGAGACACACGGCGGGUGCUAACGUCCGUCGUGAAGAGGGAAACAACCCAGACCGCCAGCUAAGGUCCCAAAGUCAUGGUUAAGUGGGAAACGAUGUGGGAAGGCCCAGACAGCCAGGAUGUUGGCUUAGAAGCAGCCAUCAUUUAAAGAAAGCGUAAUAGCUCACUGGUCGAGUCGGCCUGCGCGGAAGAUGUAACGGGGCUAAACCAUGCACCGAAGCUGCGGCAGCGACGCUGAUGCGUUGUUGGGUAGGGGAGCGUUCUGUAAGCCUGCGAAGGUGACCUGUGAGGGUUGCUGGAGGUAUCAGAAGUGCGAAUGCUGACAUAAGUAACGAUAAAGCGGGUGAAAAGCCCGCUCGCCGGAAGACCAAGGGUUCCUGUCCAACGUUAAUCGGGGCAGGGUGAGUCGACCCCUAAGGCGAGGCCGAAAGGCGUAGUCGAUGGGAAACGGGUUAAUAUUCCCGUACUUGGUGUUACUGCGAAGGGGGGACGGAGAAGGCUAUGUUGGCCGGGCGACGGUUGUCCCGGUUUAAGCGUGUAGGUGUGUGUUCCAGGUAAAUCCGGUUCACUUUAACACUGAGGCGUGACGACGAGGCACUACGGUGCUGAAGCAACAAAUGCCCUGCUUCCAGGAAAAGCCUCUAAGCAUCAGGUAACACGAAAUCGUACCCCAAACCGACACAGGUGGUCAGGUAGAGAAUACCAAGGCGCUUGAGAGAACUCGGGUGAAGGAACUAGGCAAAAUGGUGCCGUAACUUCGGGAGAAGGCACGCUGACACGUAGGUGAAGUGAUUUACUCAUGGAGCUGAAGUCAGUCGAAGAUACCAGCUGGCUGCAACUGUUUAUUAAAAACACAGCACUGUGCAAACACGAAAGUGGACGUAUACGGUGUGACGCCUGCCCGGUGCCGGAAGGUUAAUUGAUGGGGUCAGCGUAAGCGAAGCUCCUGAUCGAAGCCCCGGUAAACGGCGGCCGUAACUAUAACGGUCCUAAGGUAGCGAAAUUCCUUGUCGGGUAAGUUCCGACCUGCACGAAUGGCGUAAUGAUGGCCAGGCUGUCUCCACCCGAGACUCAGUGAAAUUGAACUCGCUGUGAAGAUGCAGUGUACCCGCGGCAAGACGGAAAGACCCCGUGAACCUUUACUAUAGCUUGACACUGAACAUUGAGCCUUGAUGUGUAGGAUAGGUGGGAGGCUUUGAAGUGUGGACGCCAGUCUGCAUGGAGCCGACCUUGAAAUACCACCCUUUAAUGUUUGAUGUUCUAACGUGGACCCGUAAUCCGGGUUGCGGACAGUGUCUGGUGGGUAGUUUGACUGGGGCGGUCUCCUCCUAAAGAGUAACGGAGGAGCACGAAGGUUGGCUAAUCCUGGUCGGACAUCAGGAGGUUAGUGCAAUGGCAUAAGCCAGCUUGACUGCGAGCGUGACGGCGCGAGCAGGUGCGAAAGCAGGUCAUAGUGAUCCGGUGGUUCUGAAUGGAAGGGCCAUCGCUCAACGGAUAAAAGGUACUCCGGGGAUAACAGGCUGAUACCGCCCAAGAGUUCAUAUCGACGGCGGUGUUUGGCACCUCGAUGUCGGCUCAUCACAUCCUGGGGCUGAAGUAGGUCCCAAGGGUAUGGCUGUUCGCCAUUUAAAGUGGUACGCGAGCUGGGUUUAGAACGUCGUGAGACAGUUCGGUCCCUAUCUGCCGUGGGCGCUGGAGAACUGAGGGGGGCUGCUCCUAGUACGAGAGGACCGGAGUGGACGCAUCACUGGUGUUCGGGUUGUCAUGCCAAUGGCACUGCCCGGUAGCUAAAUGCGGAAGAGAUAAGUGCUGAAAGCAUCUAAGCACGAAACUUGCCCCGAGAUGAGUUCUCCCUGAGACUUAGAGUCUCCUGAAGGAACGUUGAAGACGACGACGUUGAUAGGCCGGGUGUGUAAGCGCAGCGAUGCGUUGAGCUAACCGGUACUAAUGAACCGUGAGGCUUAACCUUACAACGCCGAAG
rnacentral:rRNA from 1 species